AAUCGGUGGUACGAACAUUUUUGAAUCAAAGUUUUGAAGCGUUCCCACGCCUCAGAGAAACUUUCUCCUUUCAUUUAUCUAAAGAUAGCAAUCUCUCUUCUUAGUUG
rfam:Gossypium arboreum cultivar AKA8401 contig_610_15, whole genome shotgun sequence.